UUCAAUUCAUAAGUUGUUACACAGUUCAACAAUCAACUAAAAUGAAAUUGAAAGCGACCUUUUCUGUUCUUCUUCUAUUUUGUGUAAUAUUCGGCCAGUUGCGAGCAGAACUUAAUGAGGACAUGGAAGAUGUUAAGAAUGAAGUCGAUGAAGCAAAAGAAACAAAUGUUAUCGAAGACGUAAUUGAAGAUGAGAAGCCACUAUUGCCACCAAAAAAAGAGACUAAGCGCCCAACCAACGUAAUAGAUAUAAUUGAUGAUGAACUUUGUCAAUGGAAAAGUAAAAAGGGGAAAAAGGCCGCCUCCAACAAAUGUAAAAAAAGAUGCAAAGCAGAAGGUCAUACGAGGGGUAAAUGUGGACACAAUCACGUUUGCCAAUGCAGAGAACGUCAGGUGAAAUCCGUAAAUCAAUGAUCGAUCGAAUGCUAACAAUCAAAUAUAAACCAAUAUAAUGUAAAACAUGUUUGGACCUGGCUUAUAACAUCGAUCAAUGGUACAUAAUUCUAAGAGGGUAAAGGGUUUCAUUUAUACAAUUUUUCUUCAAUUUGUUAUUUCACUGCACUUAUUAAUAUAAUAAUAAACACGUC